rnacentral:siRNA from 1 species
UCACCUACCAUGUGCGCCGUUA